GUAUCAAUUUCAAAUCGAAAUAAAACCAUGUCGAUAAGGAAGAACUCGAUAUCGUAGAAGAAAAAAGAAGAAGAAGAAGAAACAAAGAAAGAAAAUAAAACCUCACCCUCCUCAUCCUCCAGUUGAAUUCUUUCGUAUGGAUGAACAAAAGUAUUGUGUCAUUUUGCAUAAAGAAGAAAGAAAAUAGAAAGAAAAAAGAGAAAAUGAAGGGAGGAAAAUUCGUCGAUCGGAAUAUGGAAGAAGAGAAGUUACUCCCCACUCUUUGUCAACCCUCCCCCACCACUACCAUUGGCGAAUUGCCUCUGGCUAAAGUACCGGAAGAAAAAACGAGACGGAACGAGACAGACUGAGUGAGUGCGAGCGAGCGAAUGAGAGUGGGGUAAGUGAGUGAGAGAGUGAGUGAGUUAGACAGAAGAUGCGCGCGCAGGUUGUACCGCUAGGUGGCCAGUAGUUUGAGAUCCUCGUCGACAGACGGCGUGCUAGUCAGUGUCGCAGUGUCCCCCGUCCUGCCUGGCAGGUUGCACACCGUCGGCACUCCGUCCACGUCGUCUCCGAGGGAAAAAAUUCGCACACAUAUGUAAACGAAACUCGGCUUGAACAUAAUGCGCUUCUUUCUCGAACGUUAGUCCGCAGUCUGACCUCUCUCCGGUCUUUACGGACGAAUAGAAAGAAAAAGUUGCUCUACUAAUGUUUAAACA